UAGUUUACCGAGUCGUGCAGGAUGAAGAACCGUAGAGGUUCGAGCAUCGCGCAGCGAUACGACAACGCGCAGCGUUGCCCGCAGGGUGAGGCCAUAGGCCGAAUCAAUCCUGCACGACCCACCA
rnacentral:sRNA from 1 species